rnacentral:rRNA from 1 species
UACGAAGGGGGCUAGCGUUGCUCGGAAUUACUGGGCGUAAAGCGCACGUAGGCGGCUUGUUAAGUCGGGGGUGAAAUCCUGGAGCUCAACUCCAGAACUGCCUUCGAUACUGGCGAGCUCGAGUUCGGGAGAGGUGAGUGGAACUGCGAGUGUAGAGGUGAAAUUCGUAGAUAUCUGGAGGAACACCGGUGCGAAGGCGGCAUCCUGGACCGGCAUUGACGCUGAGGCGCGAAAGCCAGGGAGCAAACAGG